GGGUUGUUAGCUCAGCGGUAGAGCGUCACGUCGACAUCGUGAAGGUCACUGGUUCGAGACCAGUACAACCCACCA
rnacentral:tRNA from 1 species